GGGGACGUAUGGUUUCGACAGCAGGUUGGAGGAUCGGGAGGAGCGGGUCGAGGAUGGGGAAUCCUCGUUAAUCCGGCUCCAAAACAAUAAUCGUCAAUAACGAUUACGCACUCGCUGCUUAAGUAAGCGGCGCGCUCUCUAAAGCUUCCGUCAUCGGGCUUUAGAAGAGUGUCACAAAGAUGACUGGAAUCUCUUCAGCGCUUUCUGGGAGAGGUUCGAGACUCUAGGGAAGGCUUGGAAAUGCGGAUCCUGUCUUUGGGAGCCGCAGAUCCGAAAUUAAAACAGAGACUACACUCGUAGUGCCUCCCAGAUUGGCCCCUGUUGGACCGGAGUUCGAAUCUCCGCGUCUCCACCA
rnacentral:tmRNA from 2 species